rnacentral:lncRNA from 1 species
UUACAGAUUUAUGAAUAAUCAUAUCCGAUUCCUCCGCAUCGCUCCCAGUAGAAUACCAUCCAAGUACAUAAAAAUUAGGAAACACCUUCUUAUCUGAUCCACAGGUAACAAAACACAUUAAAACCAAAACUCAACACUAUCCACACACACACACAAAACGACUAAAAAACACAUAUAUACAAUCGAUAAGUGCGAAAGAGAUAGAGAGACUAACAAAGCUCUUGUUUCUUAAUCAGGAAGGCGCGAUCGAGAGAAUGAGUAGAAUCAUCAAACAAAAGCUCGAAGCUGUUAAAGAUUUCGACGGUGCGGCCUCUCUGGACGCCGAUGACGCAACCGAAAACCCUGAGCGGCGGCGGCGCGGAGGCGAGGGCGGCGGAGUGAGGAGGGCC